rnacentral:rRNA from 1 species
GUGGGGAAUCUUCCGCAAUGGACGAAAGUCUGACGGAGCGACGCCGCGUGAGUGAAGAAGGCCUUCGGGUCGUAAAGCUCUGUCAUCAGGGACGAAUGGCCGGUGGAGUGGAAAGCCACCUGAUUGACGGUACCUGAGAAGGAAGCCACGGCUAACUACGUGCCAGCAGCCGCGGUAAUACGUAGGUGGCAAGCGUUGUCCGGAAUUAUUGGGCGUAAAGCGCGCGCAGGUGGGAUCUUAAGUCCAUUUUGAAAGUUCGGAGCUCAACUCCGUGAUGGGAUGGAAACUGGGAUUCUUGAGUACCGGAGAGGAAAGCGGAAUUCCCCGUGUAGCGGUGAAAUGCGUAGAUAUGGGGAGGAACACCAGUGGCGAAGGCGGCUUUCUGGACGGUGUCUGACACUGAGGCGCGAAAGCCAGGGGAGCGAACGGGAUUAGAAACCCCUGUAGUCC